AGUGAACGCUGGCGGUAGGCCUAACACAUGCAAGUCGAACGGCGGCACAGUAAGAGCUUGCUCUUACGGGUGGCGAGUGGCGGACGGGUGAGGAAUACAUCGGAAUCUACUUUUUCGUGGGGGAUAACGUAGGGAAACUUACGCUAAUACCGCAUCCGACCUACGGGUGAAAGCAGGGGAUCUUCGGACCUUGCUCGAUUGAAUGAGCCGAUGUCGGAUUAGCUAGUUGGCGGGGUAAAGGCCCACCAAGGCGACGAUCCGUAGCUGGUCUGAGAGGAUGAUCAGCCACACUGGAACUGAGACACGGUCCAGACUCCUACGGGAGGCAGCAGUGGGGAAUAUUGGACAAUGGGCGCAAGCCUGAUCCAGCCAUACCGCGUGGGUGAAGAAGGCCUUCGGGUUGUAAAGCCCUUUUGUUGGGAAAGAAAAGCAGCAGGUUAAUACCCCGCUGUUCUGACGGUACCCAAAGAAUAAGCACCGGCUAACUUCGUG
rnacentral:rRNA from 1 species